UUCAACUGCGAGUAGGCUUUCAUACGAGAGAAAAAAAAAACGCGCUAAAAUUAGGCAAAAACCAGCCGAGAAUUGGUGAAUGAAUGAACGUUGAUAAUUUACAUAAAGUUUACACAUUUUACACACGAUUUACCUGCCUGUAAUCGUACAACACCUGAAAAACACGUUGUGCUUUAAUUUUCGCUAUCGCAUUCUCGAACAUUCGACCGUUUUGAAUUUUCAUCUUCCCACCAACGAAUGCACACGCAUGCAAAUCGCACCGAAUGAAUACUAUCAGAAAAAUGAAACAAUAACUGUUGAAAUUGUGCAACAUUACACGUUUUUUACGAUAAGCGCAAAUGAUAUAAUCAUGAAAUGCAUAAAGAAUGCAAAAACGUGUUGCAAACUUGCUUACAUCUUCAUAUCAUCAGGUACAAGAUAGAUGCUGUUAGUUUUUAAAGAAUAUAAGAAGUGAAAGACGAGCGGAUGCCGACAAAUCACGACUAACAUUUUUUUCCCGACGUUUCGCAACCUACGAAACACCCUGACGUCAGCUAAUGUGUAAUUAUUGAAGUGCGUGUUUUUUUCCAAAGUUUUCAUUUCCGACGAGACGAAAUUUUUGUACUUUAUAACGCCGCAGCAGUAAAAUGUGUGUAAUAGAAUUAGGAAACUCGUGUUCCACAAGUGGUCCUAAGUCAAAUGAUAUGAUAAACGUCACUUAAUCUCCCAUCGUCUUAUUCAUCGCAUAGUUGGAAUUUAUGACGGUCUCAACGGCUUGCAAUGCAUAUUUAUACAGAUAUUAAACCUUCUAAUCAAUUUAUUGACUGGUUAUGCACAGGAUUAAAGGUAAAUAUCGUAAUUAUACGUCGUGGCAUGUCGAAGCGUCACAUAAAAGUCGAAAUUAUUUGAGCCAACUUCGAAAACAAACAAUAAAUAUGAAAGAAAUGCGUAAAACUUGAAAUACAUUACGUUUAUUGCUGUAAGAAGGUCGACGAUUGUUGUGUAAGUAGUGUUUUUACGGUGAAACUAUAAAAAAUUGAUUUAACGGUUUAAUAUAUCAAAAUAAUGCAUCUAAUUAAAGGUCAACCACGCUAUGAUUUAUGGUGGGCAUAAUAUGACAUGAUCAUGACCACAUUACGUGUCUAUAAGUUCAUAGUCAUUAUCGAAAAAACAAUUAAAAGGCAAUUUGUGUCUGAGACAUAAAGAAAAUACUAUUUCUGCUGGUUUUAAUUUUUUUUAGUUUAGUUUCAUUAUUUGCUUUUUAUUUCUCUACAUCCGUUGUUUGCAACGUUGUAAUUAGAAUGUAAUUGUAUUCUGCAUGUAAGUAGUGUGAAUAUCACACUUGUUAACAAGUACUUAUCAGUUAAUUCACUGCUAGACCAGUUGAAUGAUUUCAUCAUGCUUAUCACAUUCUCAUAUUCAUGUAAUCAUCGUGAAUCGUGACUAUUCGAUCCAUAUUAUUAUUAUCAGCCACAACAGUUAGGAUCAAGAUCAGGGCUAUAACUUUGGUAAUAGGUCUUUCAUAUCUUCGUUUUUAUUUCCGUUGAUUUGAUCAGUUGAAAUACACAACACAAAUAUAGCACUUGUUCCGCUAAGUGCGAUAUUUACAAAGUACAAAUUUGCUUCUCAUUGUCGUACAAAGCAUACAAAAUGGUACAAACGAUGUCUCGAUGUCAUAAAAACACCUAAUACUAAUUGGAAGUUGAUUUCUCUUUCACAUCUGGUGUAAUUCUUAAUGUUAUCACCAUGCUUUUGAUCAUGAUGAAUGAUGAUGUUAAUUAUUAUCUACCUCUUCAAAUGUUUUUUUUUGUAUAUGUAUGGAUAUAUAAAAUGGCGUCAUGGCACUUCUGGUUCAGUUUUCCUCGAAGCCAAAUACAUACUUACAAAAAGAUGCAGUAAAUAAAAGUGUAAACGCUAAAUAAUUAAAAAAUUUACAUAUUUCACAUAGAAUGACAUAAAUCGCUUGAUUUCGUCCGCGUCUGCCCGACGCGAAACGAUAAAAUAGAUAAAACUCCGCUGAUAAAUAUAUACAACGUAUUAAAUAAUCCGCUUUAACAAAAUAAUAAGCAUACAUUAUACAUUCUACAUCAUAGAAAACAAAUCGUGGAAAAAUAUUAUAACUAAUGCAUAAGAAAAAUUCAAUUGCAGAUAAUUGGAAUAUAAGAUACUUCGUCAAUUAUUUGUCAUGUUUUGUAUCCUUAUUAGUUGAUUGCUUGCUUUCCGUUUCCGUUCAAUUACAACGUUUCGCUUGUUUCGUUUUUAAUCGUGUGGAAUGUCUAAUAGUAACAUCAAUUUAGAUAAAAUCACAAAUAUUAAUAUAAUAGUCAAAGAGAAUGCUAAUGAAAUUUUAGCGUAAUUAUACAAUAGAGCGUAUGCAAUCGCAUCAACGUAAUUAUCCUCGCUAGCUAUAUAUGAUUAAAUUUAGUUACAUAAUUCUGAUUUUUUUCAUCUUCUUCUUCCUCCUUAGAAUUGGCUAUAAGUGUCCGCGCGUCGAUUAAAAUUAUUGCACUUUGCAAACAAAAGACUAGCAAUACCUGAAUUUGUGAUAUACAAAUUGUUUUCGUAUUUUGGUCGCGUCAAUGGGAAUGCGUUUUGGAAACCUACUACCAUCAAUCACAGUAAACGAAUCAAAUAUGAAGAUUACACCUAGGAAAUUAAUCGCAAUUUUAAGGUUUAAGUAAACGUCUGCUUUUGAAGCUUAUUUAGAAAACAAAACGCGCAUGAUAUCAUGUUUGAUUGAAUUGGUUAGACCGCCGUGCGGUAUUACUGUUCGGCCACGCUGUCCAUGUUGGGGACAUAGUCCAGCGACAUUAGGCACGCGAAAACUGUCAUUACCAUUUUGGGCUUCACUUCGGUGAUGUCCUCGGGCAGGGCGUACACUCUGGCGCCGGUUUUACGUGCCAUACUUAUCGCGUAUUUUGCAUUCGCCAAAUUAUCCUGAAAAAUACAAUUUUAGGUAAAAUUGGAAUAAAACAAGACUAAAUUUCGAUUUUUAAGGCUUCUGAAGUCUUCUAAGUGCUUCCAAAACAAACUAAAGACAUUAAUCUGAGUCAUAGAAUCAUUUUCAAUCAGAUUAAAGCUUUUUAUUGUAUUAAUUUGAUCAAAAUACACGCUUACCUCUUCUGAUCCCGAAGUCUUCACAAGAUCAUAAUUAAUGGCACCGGGUUUAAUGGCGUCGAUGAGAUCGAUAAGUACGAUCGCAUUGCUAAUCGACGAAUCCUGGAAACCUCUCAACGAGGAAGUUUUUCCAGCGUCAACUAACCGCUUAUUGCACCAUUGUACAAUCUCUUUCUCGACAAUAGGAGAACCACUUUGUGCCAGUUGAGUGAGCAUAGACAACGUGUACGCUCUCAUCAACUGCCAGAUCAACGCCAACGUCAGCGUCACGUUUCCAUCGUUAAUGUCUUGCCCGGCAAUACCCACCAACGAAAACUUGAUCUGUUUGUCUUUACCUAACUCAAUGGCAUAGUUACAGUUCUCCAGCUUCUCCAUAAACUUCCCCAGCUUGGAAAAAUUGCGAUGCACGCGAUUCCAAUCGACAAUACCUGGUUUAAUAAUAUCGUACAGCUGGAAGACCACCAGACCAUCGGCGAGGUCGCUGUACAGCCAGUUGACGUGCGGCGACACGCCCAUCGAGUUGAUCCAGUUUCUGUAAGCUGUGUGAGAAAAUGUCGGUGAGAUUUUAAUUAGGCAUUGUUGCGACAGGAUGUGAAUGUGAAUCCGCAUCGUGCUUACUUUUCUCCUCUCGCGUCUCCUCAACGGUUUCGUACUCGUACUCAGUUCCGUUGGUCUGCUCGAGACCCGGAUGCUUAUUGAACAGGUUCGCCACGAAUGCGACGUUCAGCUUGUACACGCCGUUGACGACGUCCUGCGGCGUCACGAACGCGCGACACUGCAACUUCGCCGCUUGCUGCAGCAUUAUUUCCGCACGACUUUGCAUAUCACGUUC